rnacentral:rRNA from 1 species
UACGUAGGGCGCAAGCGUUAUCCGGAAUUAUUGGGCGUAAAGAGCUCGUAGGCGGUUCGGCAAGUCAGCUGUGAAAUCUCCACGCUCAACGUGGAGGGGUCAGCUGAUACUGCUGUGACUUGAGUCCGGUAGGGGAGUGUGGAAUUCCCGGUGUAGCGGUGAAAUGCGCAGAUAUCGGGAGGAACACCAGUAGCGAAGGCGGCACUCUGGGCCGGUACUGGACGCUGAGGAGACGAAAGCGGUGGGGAGCAAACAGG